AUUGAACGCUGGCGGCAUGCUUUACACAUGCAAGUCGAACGGUAACAGGUUAAGCUGACGAGUGGCGAACGGGUGAGUAAUGCAUCGGAACGUGCCCAGUCGUGGGGGAUAACGCAGCGAAAGCUGUGCUAAUACCGCAUACGAUCUAUGGAUGAAAGCGGGGGACCGUAAGGCCUCGCGCGAUUGGAGCGGCCGAUGUCAGAUUAGCUAGUUGGUGGGGUAAAGGCCCACCAAGGCGACGAUCUGUAGCUGGUCUGAGAGGACGACCAGCCACACUGGAACUGAGACACGGUCCAGACUCCUACGGGAGGCAGCAGUGGGGAAUUUUGGACAAUGGGCGCAAGCCUGAUCCAGCAAUGCCGCGUGCAGGAAGAAGGCCCUUCGGGGUUGGUUAAAAGGUACGUCCUUUUUGGUUCCUAGGGGAAGGAAAACGAAGACAGCUCUAACACAGUCUGCGAAUGACGGUACCUGAAGAAUAAGCACCGGCUAACUACGU
rnacentral:rRNA from 1 species